AAAAUAUAGAACACAAUCUUGAUUCCAAAACAAUCUAUAUAUACAUUUUUGCAGCCAUUUUAGCAAAUAAAUCAUGUACUUGGACUUAUUUACGAUCUAAUGUCAUUAGCAUUAA
rnacentral:sRNA from 1 species